rnacentral:lncRNA from 1 species
UCAAAUGUUUUUAAAGCUACUAGAGGCUUAUAUGAUCGUUUACUUUAGGGCUUGUUGGAUUAGUCAAUAUACAUAUAAGCUAGUCCGAACAUUCCAUUUUAAUUGAAAAAAAAAGGUAUGAUAUCUGACGAGGAACAAAUAAGAUGUCAAAGUAGAGAAAUUAUGAACAUUCAAAAUUACCACUCUCCUCCACGGGGUAAAAACCAAACCAAUAUGAAACCCGAAUAAUGAAUUUGUGAGUUUCAUUUUCACUGUUUAUAAUAACAAGUCAAUUACGUAAUUUUGGUCCCACUGAAGCAGGGUUAGAACCCAACAAACAUCAAAUGAAUGGCAGAUGAGUAAUGGUAAAAACUUUCAUGGCUUGUUUGGUACAGUAAACUUUCUGAGAAAUAUUCUCUGUAAGAACAACUUAUCUUUUGUUUUGAAUCAAGAAUUCUGUGCUCUGAACAUGCGACACAACGUAUAACAUGGAGUUGAAGCCAUGAAAAAACUUAAGUAGGUCCAAAAAAUAAAAAACUAAGAUUGAAAUUGAUAAGCAUACCCUUUCAAAGUAACAUAAAAGAACUGCUCCUGGGUAUUAUCUCUCCUCCCAAUUUCUCCUUUGUUAUGAGAUUUAGAUCAGGCAAUGAAAAAGGAUUUUUUUCAAACUGUCUAUUAUCCAAAGAAAUGUUGAGACCAAAAUGAUUCAGAACUCUACUAUAUCAUGAGGCUGAAUUCUCCAUUAUCUUUUCUUUGACAUGUAUUGAAGUGGAAUUGAGCAAUACAACCUCUCCCCCUCCCCCCUCCCACAAGGAAAAAUAUAAGCUGUAACAAGGCUGACAGAUUAUAUAUACAGUUCUCACAAGUUUAUGGCAGCCCACAACUGCUUUUGAUCUAGGAUUUGAUCAAGCUAGCGAAAUUAGGGUUUGUUUUAGAAGAAAUAAGGUAAAAUAAGACUGAGAAGCAUCUCGGGAAUGAUUGCAUUUAAUAACCAAACAUAACAGCUUCACGCUCAUUUCCACCAAAACCUAAUGCAAUUUUAUUUUUGAAAACCAUGAAUCACAAAUGCCAACACCAAUAGCUUAGGAAUUGCA